rnacentral:rRNA from 1 species
AUGCCGGAAGCGCCGAUGGCGGCGGGGGCGGGGGCGGGGGACGGAGUCUCCUGGGAGGAGGCGCACCGCCAGGUGCUCGACCUCAUCGAGCGCGUGACCCGGUGCGCCGGGGAGAUACAGCGCCAGGUGCUGGUGGAGAUCCUGGCGCAGAACGCGCCGGCCGAGUACCUGCGCCGCAUCGGCGUCCCGGGCGCCGCCCCCGGCGCCGACGACGCGUUCCGCCGCCUCGCGCCGCUCACCACCUACGAGGACAUCCUCCCCGACGUCAUCCGCAUCGCCAACGGCGACUCCUCGCCCAUCCUCUCCGGCAAGCCCAUCCGCGAGUUCCUCACUAGCUCCGGCACGUCGGGAGGGGAGCGGAAGCUGAUGCCCACCAUCGAGGAGGAGAUGGACCGCCGGUCCAUGCUCUACAGCCUGCUCAUGCCGGUCAUGAGCCAGGCCAUGCCGGGGCUGGACAAGGGCAAGGCCAUGUACCUCUACUUCGUCAAGGCCGAGUCGCGCACGCCGGGCGGGCUGCCGGCGAGGCCCGUCCUCACCAGCUUCUACCGGAGCCGCCAUUUCCUGGAGCGCCCCCACGACCCCUACACCGUCCACACCAGCCCCGACGAGGCCAUCCUGUGCGUCGACGCGUACCAGAGCAUGUACGCGCAGCUGCUCUGCGGCCUCGUCCACCGCGCGGACGUGCUCCGCGUCGGCGCGGUCUUCGCGUCCGGGUUCCUCCGCGCGAUCCACUUCCUCGAGAAGCACUGGGAGCGUCUGUGCCGGGACAUCCGCACCGGCGAGCUGGACGCGGAGAUCACCGACUGUGCCGUGCGCGCCGCCGUCGGCCGGGUUCUCCGCCCGGACCCGGCCCUCGCCGACGCGAUCGAGGACGCGUGCAAGAGGUCGUCGUGGAAGGGCGUGAUCCGGAGGGUGUGGCCCAACACCAAGUACAUAGACGUCAUCGUCACGGGCGCCAUGGCCCAAUACAUCCCUACCCUCGACUACUACGGCGGCGGCCUGCCUCUGGCGUGCACUAUGUACGCCUCCAGUGAGUGCUACUUCGGCCUAAAUCUGAACCCGAUCUGCAGUCCAGCCGACGUCGCCUACACGCUGAUCCCGACAAUGUGCUACUUCGAGUUCCUCCCCGUCCAAUCCGGCAGCAGCGCCGCCGCCGGCGAGCCGGACCACCGGGACCUCGUCAACCUCGUCGACGUGAAGCUCGGCAAGGAGUACGAGCUAGUCGUCACCACCUACUCCGGCCUGUACCGCUACCGCGUGGGCGACGUCCUCCGGGUGGCGGGGUUCAAGAACGCGGCGCCCAUGUUCAACUUCCUCCGGCGGAAGAACGUGGCGCUGAGCGUCGACGCCGACAAGACGGACGAGGCGGAGCUCCACGCCGCCGUGAGCAGCGCCGUGCAGCACCUGGAGCCGUUCGGCGCGUCGCUCGUGGAGUACACGAGCUACGCCGACGCGAGCACCAUCCCGGGCCACUACGUGCUCUUCUGGGAGCUCCGCGCGGGCGGCGGGUCCACGACCCCGGUGCCGGCGUUCGUGUUCGAGGACUGCUGCCUCGCCGUGGAGGAGUCGCUCAACAGCGUGUACCGGCAAUGCCGCGCCGCCGACCGCUCCGUGGGGCCCCUCGAGAUCCGCGUCGUCUCCGAGGGUACGUUCGACAAGCUGAUGGACCUGGCGCUGAGCCGCGGCGCGUCGAUCAACCAGUACAAGGCGCCGCGGUGCGUGCGGCCGGGCCCGGUGGUGGAGCUGCUCGACGGCAGGGUGGAGGGGAGGUACUUCAGCCCCAAGUGCCCCAAGUGGAGCCCCGGGAGCGCGCAGUGGACCGGCGGCCAUGGCAAGACGCUGAGCACCAGUUAG